rnacentral:rRNA from 1 species
GAUGAACGCUGGCGGCGUGCCUAAUACAUGCAAGUCGAGCGAACAGACGAGGAGCUUGCUCCUAUGACUUUAGCGGCGGACGGGUGCUUAACACGUGGUUAACCUAACUAUCAGACUGGGAUAACUUCGGGAGACCGGAUCUAAUACCGGAUAAUAUAUUGAACCGCAUGGUUCCAUAGUUAAAUUCGGUUUUUGUUUCACUUAUAGAUUGAUACGCCCCGCAUUAGUUAGUUGGUAAGGUAACGGAUUAACAAGGCAACGAUGCGGACACGACCCGAGAGGGAGAUCGGCCAGACGGUAACGGAGACACGGUCCAGACUCCUGCGGGAGGCAGCAGUAGGGAAUCUUCCGCAAUGGGGGAAAGGGUGACGGAGCAACGCCGCGUGAGUGAUGAAGGUGUACGGACCGGAAAACUAUGAUAUUAGGAAGGAACAAAUGUGUAAGUAACUAGGAUCGUCUUGACGGUACCUAAUCAGAAAGCCACGGCUAACUACGUG